UACACGUGGAAGAACUAAGGAGC
rnacentral:piRNA from 1 species